GAGGAAACUUGUGCUAAUACCGGAUAAGUCUUUACAGAGAAAGCUUUAUGCACCAUUGGAUGAGCCUGCACUUGAUUAGUUAGUUGGUAGGGUAAUGGCCUACCAAGACUUUGAUCAAUAGCUGAUUUGAGAGGAUGAUCAGCCACAUUGGGACUGAGACACGGCCCAAACUCCUACGGGAGGCAGCAGUGGGGAAUCUUGCACAAUGGAGGAAACUCUGAUGCAGCGAUGCCGCGUGAGUGAAGAAGGCCCUUGGGUUGUAAAGCUCUUUCGUCGGGGAAGAAAAUGACUGUACCCGAAU
rnacentral:rRNA from 1 species